UACGGAGGGGGCCAGCGUUGUUCGGAAUCAUUGGGCGUAAAGGGCGCGUAGGCGGCCGAGCAAGUCGGACGUGAAAUCCCCCGGCUCAACUGGGGAACUGCAUCCGAAACUGCUUGGCUUGAGUCCUGGAGAGGGUAGUGGAAUUCCCAGUGUAGCGGUGAAAUGCGUAGAUACUGGGAGGAACACCGGUGGCGAAGGCGGCUACCUGGACAGGUACUGACGCUGAGGCGCGAAAGCUAGGGGAGCAAACAGG
rnacentral:rRNA from 1 species